GGGAGCGCUCGUAUUUGCCAUUUUUCUUGACAUUUCUAUACAAGCGGCCUGAUACGUGGCUCUGUGGCCUGGUGGGAU
rnacentral:lncRNA from 1 species